UGGACUCAUCCACUGAAGCACAGGAAGUGCUCAGGAUCAGGGACGAUCGACCUUGCAAGGAAAGCUAUCGACAGGGAGUCGUAAUGGUCUUGGAAAAACCCGCUUCGGCGGGUUUUUUU
rnacentral:sRNA from 1 species